GACGAACGCUGGCGGCGUGCUUAACACAUGCAAGUCGAACGGAAAGGCCCUUCGGGGUACUCGAGUGGCGAACGGGUGGGUAACACGUGGGUGAUCUGCCCUGCACUUUGGGAUAAGCAUGGGAAACUGGGUCUAAUACCGAAUAGGACCACGCGCUUCAUGGUGUGUGGUGGCAAGCUUUUGCGGUGUGGGAUGGGCCCGCGGCCUAUCAGCUUGUUGGUUGGGUAAUGGCCUACCAAGGCGACGACGGGUAGCCGGCCUGGGAGGGUGACCGGCCACACUGGGACUGAGAUACGGCCCAGACUGCUACGGGAGGCAGCAGUGGGGAAUAUUGCACAAUGGGCGCAAGCCUGAUGCAGCGACGCCGCGUGAGGGAUGACGGCCUUCGGGUUGUAAACCUCUUUCAAUAGGGACGAAGCGCAAGUGACGGUACCUAUAGAAGAAGCACCGGCCAACUACGUG
rnacentral:rRNA from 1 species